UCUCACCUGUAGAGCUGUUUAUCCAUUUAGAUUGUCUUAGUGUCAAGGUCUGAGACAUCGGCCGUAGAGACGUUGGUGUUCUCUGUAACAUAAUUAGAUGGAUUGAAUACGGGUGAUCUGGAAACAGCGAAGACAUUCAGUCCUAUGAAAGUUGCUCAAUAUCUCCCAGACUUGGCAUCUCUCAGCACCAAAACGACCUGGAUGGAUGAACAGCACUGCAGCGACUGUUGAAGGAGAUGCUCAAACAUGACCCGCUGCAGAGGAGUUUCUGUCGGCACACAGUGUGUUUGUCCUCUCUACGUCCACCUUCACGCUCGCCCAUCAACGCUGCCAACAGACAGCCGCGCAAUCCAUGGAUGCCACUUCCUUUGAUAUGGAAAAUGCUGCAACCCUGAGGUGUCAGAAUCGUUUAUGGACAAAGAAACUUCACCAGACUUUCCCAUCAGCAUGUGUGGGGAAGUUCCUGCUCGUCCUUUCUGAAAUAAGAGGAAAUGAAGGAUGGGACUUUGGGCUUCCGAGGCCGUGACCCUCGCAGUCCCACAGCAAGGCUCCCUGGGAUAUGUAGGCGCCUCCGGACUCGGGGACACCAGGGGGUCUCCCCUCGUCGGGAAGGAUGGCAUAUUUGUCCCAGGUCGAAGGCUGAUGUUUGGGCAGAACUCUGAUUUUCUGGGACCAGCUCGAGGAACAUCCUUGUCCGAAGAACAACAGCAUCACUUGCCCUAAAACGAUAAAGUCAGGGUGGAUGAACGGGUCAACAAAAUGCUGGACAUCAACAUGGGUGUGUUUCUUCCUCUCCCGUGCUCUCUCACUUCUUUCGCUUCCCGGAUCUCGCCACCUCGUCUUCCCGACACCUGCCUCUCUCUCUCUCUCUCUCUCUCUCUCUUCUUCCUCCUCUCACUUUCCAGAAGCUACUCCACCGUGUCCCAGAGGACGGACUGUGAAAGAAAUGCGGUGCGAGGAUGCUACAACCCAUAUCUGCAAAUCCACCAAUCAGAGUCCAGCAGUGCUGCAUCAUGGUCCAUUCGUGUGACAGGAAAUGGACGAGUUGUGCAGAUGAAAGGGGGUUCAGGCCACGUGGCGGCGGCCACACUGGAGCCUCAGUCCUCUGUGUCUGUCGCUGACUCGCCCCGUCCGUCCAUCUGUCCCCGCGCCCUCAAAGGGACGUUUGUCCCGCCACAAGGGUCGUUCAGAGCGCACGCACACACAUACAGAUGAAGGCAGAAAGAAGCGCACCCUCUUCUGACCGGACAAAUGGACACUCGGUGACUCUGAGAGAGGCACUUCAGGAGCACUCUCAUCGCCUCGCACAAUGGAGGUGGAGGACUUUGUUUUUAAGACUGAGACAGAGGACAAAACAGACGAAGAGCAAAGCUUCUGUUCUUUUUGUGAUUUUAUUUAGAUUAAUGUCACAGUCAUCAACAUACAGCGUCUGGGGUGUUGCAGUCAGAUUAGUAACUUUUCUCUCAACAGUCCGUUAUUAUUCUGACAAAGUCAGGACAAUGUCCUCAUGUGAAAACCAUAUAACUCCAGACAGUCAGCUUUUCAUGAGCUGCUUUUGGACAAAAUUAAAUGUUAUUUCAUUUGCUGAAGUUUGCAGAAAUGUACACUACCAACAUUCAUUGUAUUAUUGAACAUUUUGCAGAUAAUCUAAUCCAUUUUUUUUAAAUAAUCAAUCAUCCAAUUUGGAGAUACAUGGUUUUCACUGGACACAGACAAUAUGUAAUACAUCAGAUUGCUUUGCCGUGAAGGAGACCGCAUCGACUUUGUUCAGGAUUUGGUGUUCCACCAUCCUAACAUGCUUUUGACAGACAGGCAGAACAAAACAGCAAUAAAAACGAUGCUUUUCUCAAUGUAGUCUGGCAUUAAAAACCUUUAUAAACA